rnacentral:tRNA from 1 species
GUGGGCGUGCCGGAGUGGUUAUCAGGCAUGACUAGAAAUCAUAUGGGCUUGCGUAGGUUCGAAUCUUGCCGCUCACG